GUAUUUAUUUAUUCCGCAAGGUGAAUGUCAGUCGAGGUAAAAAUGUUUUAGGAAUUAAGUAUAGUUAUAAAAUUAAAGAAAUGUUGAAUUACAUUUGAAGAUUUAAAAAGAAAAUUAAAAUGGAUUAGAGCUCCUUAGAUUGGGUGAGACGAGAGAGGUCGGAAGAGUGGAACCAGCUGUUUUUAAAUGGGAGCGUGCAACAUUUUGAACGCUCAUGGAUGGGAGGGAGUCGCGAUGGUCAAAUAGAACACCGACUGACCCCACCGAGGAGAGUGCUAACGUAGACGCGUGUAAAAAAAUGAGAUCUGUCCGUUGCACGCGAGAAAAUAGGUUUUUUUUUGUUAAAUCCGUCCCCUGGCAAUCGGGUCGAAAACACCCCUGAGUUCCCCGAGAGCUAGCCGGGAACGAUAGACCAGGGCGGCAAAAAGGCGGAUCAGAACAAAUGGCGCCCAAGGAAAACGAGUGGCGCCCUAAUAAAUGGCGCCCAAUGGAAACGAAAGGCAUCGGUUUUAGACGGGGGGUCCAAGAUACCCUGUUGGUCCGUGAGCUAGGAAUACACCCCAGCCAUAGUAGCCGUUGAGGAGAAGAGUUCAGCGUAGAGGAGGAGAGUUGUGGUCCUGGUGUAGCCAAAUGGGCUACAGCCACGUUGUCCGACUCGUGGAGGCCUCGGAGAGAUUUGACGAGUGAAUACCUCGAGUUGUGGUCCGGGUGUAGCCAAAUGGGCUACAGCAACCUUGUCCGACUCGAGAGGUCCACGGAUCGGAUCGGAAGAGAGGUUCGGGGUCUCUCCAGUUGUGGUCCGUGCGGUGCCGACAGGGCAUCAGCAUAGUUGCCCGACUCGAGAGAGCCAGGACAACUAUAAAAAACGAAACAGUAAGAGGAGUUGGCACUCCUUGUGAAAAAAAGAAGCGGAAAUUAAUUGCGAGGGAAAAAGAUUGGUUCACUCACCGACUGCAACCGUGAGUUGCAGUUGUCUCUCGACUCGCCCAAGGGAUUGUGUAGCUGCAAAGGAAGAUUUGUUUUUGUUUACGUUAGUGUUUAUAACGGAUAACCCAUGUACAGCCAAGAUGUAAUUCCUAGCUCUUGGACGGCACGCUUAUAUGUGUUCCGGCUGCUGGCUCGUCGGCUACGAGUGUGGUGUUCUUGUCCAAGCUAGGGCCUACCUUAUUAUUACUUUAAAAAAAUGAAACGUGCACACAAAAAGCCAUAAACCGGACGGAAGAAUACAAAUUAACUUUAUGGCGUUUUUGGUCCAAGCUGCUUGUAUGCGUUGCGUUGGCUCCGGCGGCAGCGAUCGGGUUCCCGUGGCCCGCUCUUGUAGCUGGGGACGGUGGUUGCGGUUGGCAACUGAGUCUUCUACCGAAGAUUAUGUUGAGAGGGUAAUUGCCUUCUAUUUCGAUGGCCUUAAAGGCUCAACAAUAUGAUUAUAUCAAUGCACGUUUUACGACUCGUGUCGGAGUUUAUGUGAACACUCCGUUCAUUUAUUCGUCCAAUUCUAAACUAAAGCUUACUUCUAAACCUACACCGAAACCUAGCCGGCGAGCCGUCCGCGCACACAAGAGAUAAGAGCCGCCUACGAGUAAACAAGAUCAUGCGAUCGCUGGCGCCCAAUCAGAUAACAGAGCCGCCCGCUGCAACGGCAUCUACUGCAUCGGCGCCCUCC
rnacentral:lncRNA from 1 species